rnacentral:rRNA from 1 species
AAAGGAAUUGACGGGGACCCACACAAGCAGUGGAUCACGUGGUUUAAUUCGACAAUAAACGAGAAAUCUUACCCAGACUUGACAUCUAUCGAAUCUUUCAGAGAUGAAAGAGUGCCUUUAUUGGAGCGAUAAGACAGGUGCUGCAUGGUUGUCGUCAGCUCGUGCCUUGAGGUGUUCGGUUAAGUCCGUUAACGAGCGCAACCCUUGUCAUUAGUUAUUAUGUCUAAUGAGACUGCCCUGGUUAACAGGGAGGAAGGUGAGGAUGACGUCAAAUCAGCAUGGCUUUUACGUCUGGGGCUACACACAUGAUACAAUGGCGUGUACAAAGAGUAGCAAUACAGCGAUGUGGAGCUAAUCUUUAAAGCACGUCUCAGUCCGGAUUGAAGUCUGAAACUCGACUUCAUGAAGUUGGAAUUGCUAGUAAUCGUGAAUCAGACAUGUCACGGUGAAUGUGUUCCUGGGUCUUGUACACACCGCCCGU